AACGAACGCUGGCGGCAGGCUUAACACAUGCAAGUCGAGCGCCCCGCAAGGGGAGCGGCAGACGGGUGAGUAACGCGUGGGAACGUACCCUUUACUACGGAAUAGCUCCGGGAAACUGGAAUUAAUACCGUAUGUGCCCUUCGGGGGAAAGAUUUAUCGGUAAAGGAUCGGCCCGCGUUGGAUUAGCUAGUUGGUGGGGUAAAGGCCUACCAAGGCGACGAUCCAUAGCUGGUCUGAGAGGAUGAUCAGCCACAUUGGGACUGAGACACGGCCCAAACUCCGACGGGAGGCAGCAGUGGGGAAUAUUGGACAAUGGGCGCAAGCCUGAUCCAGCCAUGCCGCGUGAGUGAUGAAGGCCUUAGGGUUGUAAAGCUCUUUCACCGAUGAAGAUAAUGACGGUAGUCGGAGAAGAAGCCCCGGCUAACUUCGUGCCAGCCGCCGCAGUAAAAC
rnacentral:rRNA from 1 species